rnacentral:lncRNA from 1 species
GGAGAACAGAGGAGAACAGAGGAGAACAGAUGAGAACAGAUGAGAACAGAGGAGACCAGAGGAGGUAGAGGAGAACAGAGGAGAACAGAGGAGACCAGAGGAGAACAGAGGAGAACAAAGGAGAACAGAGGAGAACAAAGGAGGUAGAGGAGAACAGAGGAGAGCAGAGGAGACCAGAGGAGAACAGAGGAGAACCGAGGAGAACAGAGGAGGUAGAGGAGAACAGAGGAGAACAGAGGAGAACAGAGGAGGUAGAGGAGAACAGAGGAGAACAGAGGAGAACAGAGGAGAACAGAGGAGAACAGAGGAGGUAGAGGAGAACAGAGGAGCAGAGGAGAACAGAGGAGGUAUAGGAGAACAGAGGAGAACAGAGGAGAACAGAGGAAAACAGAGGAAAACAGAGGAGAACAGAGGAGAACAGAGGAGACCAGAGGAGAACAGAGGAGGUAUAGGAGAACAGAGGAGAACAGAGGAGAACAGAGGAGGUAGAGGAGAACAGAGGAGAACAGAGGAGGUAUAGGAGAACAGAGGAGGUCAGAGGAGAACAGAGGAGGUAGAGG